rnacentral:rRNA from 1 species
GACGAACGCUGGCGGCGUGCUUAACACAUGCAAGUCGAACGGAAAGGCCCCUUUGGGGGUACUCGAGUGGCGAACGGGUGAGUAACACGUGAGUAACCUGCCCUUGACUUCGGGAGAACUUCAGGAAACUGGGGCUAAUACCGGAUAGGAAUCCUUGCUGCAUGGUGGGGGUUGGAAAGCUUCGGCGGUUUUGGAUGGACUCGCGGCUUAUCAGCUUGUUGGUGGGGUAGUGGCUUACCAAGGCUUUGACGGGUAGCCGGCCUGAGAGGGCGACCGGCCACAUUGGGACUGAGAUACGGCCCAGACUCCUACGGGAGGCAGCAGUGGGGAAUAUUGCACAAUGGGCGGAAGCCUGAUGCAGCAACGCCGCGUGCGGGAUGACGGCCUUCGGGUUGUAAACCGCUUUCAGCAGGGGCGAAGCUUGUGGUGACGGUACCUGCAGAAGAAGCACCGGCUAACUACGUG